AAUUGGUUUAAUUUAUUUGGGCUGAUGCAUUAUUUUUUCAAAAGCAUGCACAUUUAAGGAUAGGCCCAUCAGAGAACAAAUACAACAUAAUACAAUAUUCAGAUAGACUGUAUAUUUCAUUUCAGCAGCACAUCACAUGAAAUACAAUACAUCAUCAAUCGACUCCUCUACACAGCAAGGUUCAAGGCCCAACAAGUGCACAACAAAAUAGUUCUACAAGUGCAAGUGCAAGUGCACAACAAAAAGGCCCAACAAGUGCACAAGCGCACAUCAACAUAGACUGGACGAGAAGCACAAAUUUUAGCUGAUAACACAUCACAUCAAUGAGAAGCACGAAUAUCGUGCACCAUGACUGGUACACGUACUUUGUCCCAUCACCCAGGCACCAAUGUUGUGUCCAUCUACUGGUUUGCCACAUGGUGAUGUUACCGCAUUAGGGCCGUCCCAGCUUCUCCCUACCCAAAUGGUAGGAUGGUCUACUGAUCGAUGUACUGCUCCAGCAUCACUCCCGCUACCACUGGUGGAAGAAGAUCAGCUCAUCAAUCAUCUGCACGCGAACAAACAAAGAAGAUUAACCUAUUUAGCCUACUGUAAUUUGUUUCUAAACAUGGGCAUCAAAUCAACACCAACACUAAAUUAAAAUGCACAAAAGAAUGGAGCAUAGCCGUAUGUACAGCCUAACAACUUUAGGUUUGAGCCAUUUUUUAUACUACAAUAAAUACAUAAAAGCCAAAAUUUUGAUCCAUGGACACCACAUGAUAGAAAAGGUACUAAGGCACUACUUUCUACUAAAAACCAAAGCAAGGUAUGAAGCACAGGCCAGGCCAACAAUAAACUACUACCAAGUCCAGAAAUAACCAUCUGAAAUGAAGUUAAUGAGACAUUUUAGAAUCAACUUGAUAGUUGACAUUAUUGUUUGUGUUGCACACAUCUAGAAUUGAAAUUAUACAUCAUGCCCGAAUUCCGAUGUCCAAUGCCUCAGUUCAAUAAACACUAAUCAUGGUACAUAGUAAAGAUUUGACACAACCGGAACUGAAAUCACUAACUCCUUCAAUUACUACACUAAUUUUAUUACACAACCAGGCAACGAAAUCCAACACAGGCACACAGACUAUAGGAGUUGGAACUUGGAAAUGCAGGUGUACAAUUAGUGCAUCACAUACCUAGUAUCUAACUAUCAAUAGUGGUCAACAUGUAAAAGCCAACUAGCAGUAAUUGAUGAUUAGUAAACAUAGACAGGAACUAAAUUCAGUAGUAAUGUGCGUGCUCUUAUCAAACCAGAGCAAGUAAAGGAGCUAAUCCCCAUGAGUGAAACAAAUUCGAUCACAACAACAAUCCAUAACGUUUAGUAACAACAAUAAGAAGGCCCUUAAACAGAGAACAGGUUGAAUCAUGCAUCGAUUAAAGUGUCUGUUCUUGGUUUCUCUUGGUUAGAAGAUAGACCGAUCAGAAACCGGAGAGAGACUGAACAUGCAGAAUUAUGUAUGGAUUGUCAAAACUUGCAUUAUCCUACUAUCACUAGUACAACAAGCUGCAGGUUGGCAUAGUUCAUGAACCAUGUACAUCAUGACAAAUACAAUAUCAUCCAAUGCUCAACUAUGAACAAAAUUGAACAAUUACACGUCACAAAGGCGGAGCAUAGAACCAAGCAGCAAGUAAGAGGGGUAGAAGGGGACGUGAGGAGCUCACCGGAGGGGGUUGUAGCCUAGGCCGAGCUUCAUCACCACGGCGGCAGCUAGGGGAGGCAGACAUGUCUACCAUCAUAGGAGCAGCACCACCGCCAGAACUGGAAUGGCCGGAGCAAAUCACCAUCAUAUGGGUCACCACCAC
rnacentral:lncRNA from 1 species